UACGUAGGAUGCGAGCGUUAUCCGGAUUUAUUGGGUUUAAAGGGUGCGUAGGCGGAUCGUUAAGUCAGUGGUCAAAUUGAGGGGCUCAACCCCUUCCCGCCAUUGAAACUGGGGGCCUUGAGUGGGCGAGAAGAAGGCGGAAUGCGUGGUGUAGCGGUGAAAUGCAUAGAUAUCACGCAGAACUCCGAUUGCGAAGGCAGCAUACCGGCGCCCUACCGACGCUGAGGCACGAAAGCGUGGGUAUCGAACAGG
rnacentral:rRNA from 1 species